rnacentral:rRNA from 1 species
GCAGCGUGCAUACACAUGCAAGUCGAACGAUGAAGUAUUCUUCGGAAUGCGGAAGAGUGGCGAACGGGUGAGGAACACGUAAGAAUCUGCCCCUCGGUCGGGGACAACUCUUGGAAACGAGAGCUAAUACCCGAUACGCUGUGGAGUGAAAGAAUUUCGCCGAGGGAUGAUCUUGCGUCUGAUUAGCUAGUUGGUGUGGUAAUGGCAUACCAAGGCGACGAUCAGUANCUGGUCUGAGAGGAUGGACAGCCACAUUGGAACUGAGACACGGUCCAAACUCCUACGGGAGGCAGCAGUGGGGAAUUUUCCGCAAUGGACGCAAGUCUGACGGAGCGACGCUGCGUGAAGGAUGACGGCCCGCGGGUUGUAAACUUCUUUUCUCGAAGAAGAAACAAAUGACGGUAUUCGAGGAAUAAGCAUCGGCUAACUCCGUGCCACCAGCCGCGGUAAGACGGAGGAUGCAAGUGUUAUU